rnacentral:misc_RNA from 1 species
AAUGGGCGCUCAAUGGGCGCCGGUCAACAGUUUCCCGGGCGCGGAAUCGGCGCGCGCCAACCUACGUUCGCCGCAGACCGAGUAGAUGAAGGUGCAACCGUAUACAUCGUACAUUGAAAUUUGGUCAAUAGAAUUGUUCGGGAUUUGAAGUGGCCGUCUGUUUAUGACUCGAACAACACAUCAACGAGUCUGAAUUUUCCACGUUCCAAGUUGUAAACCUUACGAUGCGGACCACAUUAAGAGGCUAAUAAACACCCU